CGGACGGGUGAGUAACACGUGGAUAACCUACCUAUAAGACUGGGAUAACUUCGGGAAACCGAGCUAAUACCGGAUAAUAUAUUGAACCGCAUGGUUCAAUAGUGAAAGACGGUUUUGCUGUCACUUAUAGAUGGAUCCGCGCCGCAUUAGCUAGUUGGUAAGGUAACGGCUUACCGAGGCAACGAUGCGUAGCCGACCUGAGAGGGUGAUCGGCCACACUGGAACUGAGACACGGUCCAG
rnacentral:rRNA from 1 species